rnacentral:tRNA from 1 species
UCCUGAUAACUCCGUUGGUAAAGAAUCUGCCUGCAAUGUAGGAGGCCCUGGUUCGAUUCCUGGGUCAGGAA